rnacentral:tRNA from 3 species
GGGACUGUAGCUCAGGUGGUUAGAGCGCACGCCUGAUAAGCGUGAGGUCGGAGGUUCAACUCCUCCCAGUCCCACCG